rnacentral:lncRNA from 1 species
GAUUAGUAAACACCUCAACAAAACCUACAACAAAAAUCAAACGAUGGUACAUCCUAUAAAACGAAACACCCACGAAAGUGAUGAACACCACACUGAGACACAAACCCAUCGACAAAAAUUUGGCUUAGUUUUAUUCAAUCAAAUGAAGCCAGGGCGAGAGCCCUUUUCUUCUAAAAAAACAAACCCAUCGACAUCACACCACAUCCAGGCAGCCACAAAGCACUUAAUCCAAACCCCCAAUGGACCGCACCAACAUCAACACAUGAUGAUAGACAGGAAGCAUCCACCACUACAGCCCCUACCAUGUAAUCCAUGGGGAGAAAGAAAAAUCUGGGAGGACACCCCGCAGCCAAAACAAGCCUGUCAAAUAUCGACCGGCCCCGGCAAGGAAACAGCACCACAAAUGCAGAAAUAAACUGUCUUCAUUCCUUUGCACAAUAUGUUGCACUUAUCAUCAAUAUUGUAGUGAAACUGUACCUGAAAGUUAAUAGUAAGACAACGGAAAAUUAUAUUCACUCUUUACCACUGUAAGGAAGAUAACUUUGCCAUGCCGACCUCUAGUUCAUAGGCGGCAAAAGCAUUGUGGACACCAAUCCACCGCGCUGCUCGCAUUCACGUUGUAAUAUUCUCCAUAGAUUACUAAUCACGCACCGCAAGUGGUGCCCUCUCUUUUAGCCAACUUCUUAUAUAAACUGGCCACAGCAACCCACCAAGGGAUUCAGCGGCUGAACCAAUUCAUAGGCUAAAAAUGGAUGACUACGUUCUUUGCACUAAAGUGAGCUGCCAAUAAGAAGUCAGUUUGUAAUGUGCUAUCAUUUCCUUCAAACCUGUUCUCCUUAAUAAACUAAAAUUAAGGGAGGGGCUAAAUUACCAAUACUAUAUGGAAGUAAAGUUGAGAAGUGUAUCAAAAAUCAACCUCCACUAUCGAAGGAUGACCCCACCUCAUCCCUAUCGAAGAUUGCUCGCGCAAGUCGCACCCGACCCGCGCUCCGCCGGGCGUCGUACAAGCCUCGAGCUCGCCCACGCCGGAUCAGAGCACCGUCGACCUCCCUGCGCUGCGCACCACCGUUGGCCGCACUUUACCUGUGCUCCUUCGCCGCUGUCCCCACCUGGCCACCUCAAC